rnacentral:rRNA from 1 species
AGAGUUUGAUCCUGGCUCAGAUUGAACGCUGGCGGCAUGCCUUACACAUGCAAGUCGAACGGUAACAGGUUAAGCUGACGAGUGGCGAACGGGUGAGUAAUGUAUCGGAACGUGCCCAGUUGUGGGGGAUAACUACUCGAAAGAGUGGCUAAUACCGCAUACGACCUGAGGGUGAAAGCGGGGGAUCGCAAGACCUCGCGCAAUUGGAGCGGCCGAUAUCAGAUUAGGUAGUUGGUGGGGUAAAGGCUCACCAAGCCAACGAUCUGUAGCUGGUCUGAGAGGACGACCAGCCACACUGGGACUGAGACACGGCCCAGGCUCCUACGGGAGGCAGCAGUGGGGAAUUUUGGACAAUGGACGCAAGUCUGAUCCAGCCAUGCCGCGUGCGGGAAGAAGGCCUUCGGGUUGUAAACCGCUUUUGUCAGGGAAGAAACGGCUUUCUCUAAUACAGAGGGCUAAUGACGGUACCUGAAGAAUAAGCACCGGCUAACUACGUGCCAGCAGCCGCGGAAUACGUAGGGUGCAAGCGUUAAUCGGAAUUACUGGGCGUAAAGCGUGCGCAGGCGGUUAUGCAAGACAGAGGUGAAAUCCCCGGGCUCAACCUGGGAACUGCCUUUGUGACUGCAUGGCUAGAGUACGGUAGAGGGGGAUGGAAUUCCGCGUGUAGCAGUGAAAUGCGUAUAUAUGUCUUAGGAACACCGA